AGCGAACGCUGGCGGCAGGCCUAACACAUGCAAGUCGAACGAACUCUUCGGAAUUAGUGGCGGACGGGUGAGUAACACGUGGGAACGUGCCUUUUGGCUCGGAAUAACACAGGGAAACUUGUGCUAAUACCGAAUGUGCCCUUCGGGGGAAAGAUUUAUCCCCAUUAGGGCGGCCCGCGUCUGUUUAGCUAGUUGGGGAGGUAACGGCGCACGAAGGCGAGGAUCAGUAGCUGGGCUGAGAGGAUGACCAGCCACACUGGGACUGAGACACGGCCCAGACUACUACGGGAGGCAGCAGUGGGUAAUCUUGCGCAAUGGGCGAAGGGCUGACGCAGCCAUGCCUCGUGAAUGAUGAAGGUCUUAGGAUUGUAAAAUUCUUUCACCGGGGACGAUAAUGACGGUACCCGGAGAAGAAGCCCCGGCUAACUUCGUG
rnacentral:rRNA from 1 species